ensembl:piRNA 21ur-2483 ncRNA
AUUCAAUAGAGUCCGAGAGAU